rnacentral:rRNA from 1 species
CACGUAGGGCGCAAGCGUUGUCCGGAAUUAUUGGGCGUAAAGAGCUCGUAGGCGGUCUGUUGCGUCCGCUGUGAAAACCCGGGGCUUAACCCUGGGCUGGCAGUGGAUACGGACAGACUAGAGGUAGGUAGGGGAGAAUGGAAUUCCCGGUGUAGCGGUGAAAUGCGCAGAUAUCGGGAGGAACACCGGUGGCGAAGGCGGUUCUCUGGGCCGUUACCUGACGCUGAGGAGCGAAAGCGUGGGGAGCGAAACAGG